UAAUGGCCUUGACCUAUGGUUUCCCCUCGA
rnacentral:piRNA from 1 species